UUCUUUGGUUUUCUUUGUGGGUUCCUUUUGCUGCUAAUCACCAUUCAGCCACCAGGUAGUGCCAGAAUCACCUCUCUCCGGAGGUUGGUGUCGUCAUCUUGCACACCUGAGUUUCAUCAGCUCAUCAGGCAGCCUGUACAAGAGGAGCGGACUGCCAGCACUUCGAUGCCCGAGUGUUAGCCAGUAACGGUCCUCCUGGAAUUCCUGGUUGGCAGUCACGCCGUCCCUCUGUCUCCGCUGCACCUGAGCCUACCUGUCCGCCCUCUGUUCCACUUCCUCGUUGCCUUCUGGAUUUCUGUGGCUGAGCACUGGACUAUCUGGACCUACAAAGUAGCCAAGCCCCCUGACACUUCAGCAAACCCUUCCUAACUCCAAACCUCCGUCUAACAAUGAGCCGAGCGUUUCUGUGAGCCCGUUUCUCCCCUGGACGAGACCCGUCGCUUCACUAUUUUUCUAGUUUGUGUUCUCAAUAAAUUCACUUUAUUAUA